rnacentral:rRNA from 1 species
UGGAGAGUUUGAUCCUGGCUCAGAUUGAACGCUGGCGGCAGGCCUAACACAUGCAAGUCGAACGGUAACAGGGAGCAGCUUGCUGCUCUGCUGACGAGUGGCGGACGGGUGAGUAAUGUCUGGGAAACUGCCUGAUGGAGGGGGAUAACUACUGGAAACGGUAGCUAAUACCGCAUAACGUCUUCGGACCAAAGUGGGGGACCUUCGGGCCUCAUGCCAUCAGAUGUGCCCAGAUGGGAUUAGCUAGUAGGUGGGGUAACGGCUCACCUAGGCGACGAUCCCUAGCUGGUCUGAGAGGAUGACCAGCCACACUGGAACUGAGACACGGUCCAGACUCCUACGGGAGGCAGCAGUGGGGAAUAUUGCACAAUGGGCGCAAGCCUGAUGCAGCCAUGCCGCGUGUAUGAAGAAGGCCUUCGGGUUGUAAAGUACUUUCAGCGGGGAGGAAGGUGUUGUGGUUAAUAACCRCAGCAAUUGACGUUACCCGCAGAAGAAGCACCGGCUAACUCCGUGCCAGCAGCCGCGGUA